UACAGAGGUCUCAAGCGUUGUUCGGAUUCAUUGGGCGUAAAGGGUGCGUAGGUGGCGCGGUAAGUCGGGUGUGAAAUCUCGGAGCUUAACUCCGAAACUGCAUUCGAUACUGCCGUGCUUGAGGACUGGAGAGGAGACUGGAAUUUACGGUGUAGCGGUGAAAUGCGCAGAUAUCAGGAGGAACACCGGUGGCGAAGGCGGGUCUCUGGGCCGUAACUGACGCUGAGGAGCGAAAGCGUGGGGAGCGAACAGG
rnacentral:rRNA from 1 species